rnacentral:misc_RNA from 1 species
AAGUCGUAACAAGGUUUCCGUAGGUGUAACACGUAUCCAACGUUAAAACAACCCCCGUGAACUUUCAGCUUGCUCCUGUAGCCCGUGAAAACAGCAAUCCCUGGUAAAUCAUUGUUGACCCUUUUGAGUCAGGGACCUCUGCCGAUUGUGAUAUUUUAUAGCUACGGUUGAGCGAUUGCAUCUAGUGACCUGGCAUCCCCAAGUAAUCAGUGUCUGAAAGUGUCAUUGAUUAUGUAAGGAUGGCGCAGUCACGAUCGUAAGCCCCGGGCUCUGCCCCUUUACGACAACACAGUACGAAUUGGCCGCGCGUGAAAUUCGCACGGCACCAAAAACCGAACAACUGUUAACAAUGGAUAUCUUGGUUCUC